GAUCAUGAUCAAAGUGGAAAUUGGGAACAAUACAGAGAAGAUUAACACGACUCUUGCACAAGGAUAACAGAGAAAUGGUCCCAAAAAAAAUUAAAAAAUGAU